AGGUCUUUGACUCUUCCACAGCGACGUAGAUACGGCGAAAAGAGGCAGGAAGGAAACACAGUCCUGUGUUGGAACUGUGAUGCCCUUACUCACGUACAGCCCUCUGACAUAGGAACCUGGGAACUCUGGGAUGCGCCCUUGGUGCUAAGUAACAUUUAGCUUUGCAUUUGUACCAUAAUUGUUCCUUGGUAACCACUUAUAAUUACUUUAUUAUUUAAUGUGUCAAAGAAAUACAAACAUUAAAUUGUACUAACCUGAUAAGAUCACAAAAAUAAAAGUCUUCCCCUCCAUGGCAA